GCUCCCAUGGCGUAGUGGUCACUGCGCUCGCCUUGCACGCGGGAGACCCGGGUUCGGUUCCCGGGGGGGGGG
rnacentral:tRNA from 1 species